AUGUCAGACAGAGAUGUAUGCCCGCUCUGUGGAUGCGAGGAUUCAUGGCGACAUGCGUUGGUUGCAUGCACGAUGUCCCGUUGCGUGUGGGCGCUUUCAGAUGAAAAUCUGGUGUCACUCAUGUCUGAGAAUGAGGAAUCCAACGCAAGAAUAUGGCUGUUUGAACUUAAUGAGAGACUGGACCAUGCUAGCUUUACAAGGAUGGUCAUCACGCUAUGGUCCAUAUGGUAUGCCAGACGAGUGCAUGAAGGUACUCCUGUUGCUGCACCACCGCAACCGAAGAGGUGGCUUCCUCCACCAAGCGGCAUCACGAAGAUUAAUAUUGAUGGGGCUGUGGUAUGAUCACGGAGAGGCGGGGCAGUUGCUGCCCUAUGCCGUGACCAGGACAUACAUUAUUUGGGGUCAUCGGCGAUGGUUUACUAUGGGAUCACGGAUCCCUUAACUUUGGAGACAUAUGCAUGCCGCGAGGCGCUUGCUUUGGCGGAUGACCUGGGACAGCAGAAGAUUUGCGUGGCAUCGGACUGCCAAGAGGCGCUAAAUGAUAUCAAUAGGGGAACAGGAGGCCCCAAUGCUGCGUUGGUACAUGAAAUAAUGAACCACUGUGAUAGUUUUAUUUCUUGCUCUUUUGUUUUCGAGCGUAGGAACUUCAAUUAUGAAGCUCACAAUCUCGCCAAGUUUGUUUGUAACCUAGACAUAGGUAGACAUGUUUGGUUGGGCAACCCCCAUGACCCAAAUCUUGUACCUAUGACAAUUGCUCCUGAAUAA
rnacentral:rRNA from 1 species